AAAUUGAAGAGUUUGAUCAUGGCUCAGAUUGAACGCUGGCGGCAGGCCUAACACAUGCAAGUCGAACGGUAACAGGAAGCAGCUUGCUGCUUYGCUGACGAGUGGCGGACGGGUGAGUAAUGUCUGGGAAACUGCCUGAUGGAGGGGGAUAACUACUGGAAACGGUAGCUAAUACCGCAUAACGUCGCAAGACCAAAGAGGGGGAYCUUCGGGCCUCUUGCCAUCGGAUGUGCCCAGAUGGGAUUAGCUAGUAGGUGGGGUAACGGCUCACCUAGGCGACGAUCCCUAGCUGGUCUGAGAGGAUGACCAGCCACACUGGAACUGAGACACGGUCCAGACUCCUACGGGAGGCAGCAGUGGGGAAUAUUGCACAAUGGGCGCAAGCCUGAUGCAGCCAUGCCGCGUGUAUGAAGAAGGCCUUCGGGUUGUAAAGUACUUUCAGCGGGGAGGAAGGCGACAGGGUUAAUAACCCUGUCGAUUGACGUUACCCGCAGAAGAAG
rnacentral:rRNA from 1 species